CUCACAGGGACCCCUCAGCAGGACCCCUCACAGGGACCCCUCACAGGGACUCCUCACAGGGACCCCUCAGCAGGACCCCUCACAGGGACCCCUCACAGGGACCCCUCAGCAGGACGCCCUCACCAGGACCCCUCACAGGGACCCCUCAGCAGGACCCCUCACGGGGACCCCUCAGCAGGACGCCCUCACCAGGACCCCUCACAGGGACCCCUCAGCAGGACCCCUCACAGGGACCCCUCAGCAGGACGCCCUCACCAGGACCCCUGUCUCCAGGCCCACCCACCACCCCCCCGCCAGGCUGGGGUGGGACAGAAGUGGGGAAGGGAGCAACAGGGUGGUGAGGUCACAAGGCCUAGAGAGGGGUGGCCAAGGAAUGAAGGUGGUGACCCCACUCAGCUCCACCCCCAGUAGAGACCAUGGGGCUUGGGAAACUGAGGCACAGGAAGUUUCUGGCUGUGGGGGAUCCUGGGACCCAGGGUUGGGGUUGAUUGUCUGUGGGGAGGUGCCGCCCCGCUCGACUUUCUCAGAGCCUGCUCACCUGCUGUCCCAGCCCACCCCUAGGACCCUGGAUGUCCUGGGUAGGUGCGCUUUCUUCUCAACCUUAUCAAGUGUCCUCUUGGGGCUCAGGCUCUUCCGGGAAGACUGUGACUUUGGGAAGAGAGGCUCUGGCAUCUGCCCCUGGACCUGGGCAUCGGUGGCCUGUGUCACGGGGUACAGUUCUAUGCACAGCCAUUGCCUUGGAACACCAGCUUCCGGAUGCCAAGCACCCCACCUGGCCCUGGGAGUGAGGGGGCUGGCGCCCCGUGUCUCUGCCCAGCCCAGACACUUCCUCCUUCCGGGGCUCCGUGCCCCUCCUGCCUCCCCCGCUGCUUCUGCAGACCCUCUCCCUCCUGUGUCCACGUGACGGCUGUGUCUGCUCUGCUUCGUGGCAUCUGCUGGAUUUUCCACUCUGAGUCCCGCCCACUGUGUGCCUGCUCCUGUGUGGAGCCUGUUUCUGUGCACAUCUCUGUGUGGGCUGACAUCCACGUGUAUGCUCCUCAAGUGGGACCCUGGGUGUGAGACUGUACAUGCACCUGCAGGCCGUCGAUGCAGGACUUGAGCUCCGCCAGUGCCUCUUUGGCAUUCGAGUUGAUGUCGUACUUGCCCAGGGGCCCUUCGUAGAGCUCCUCUGUGGUCCCCACCAGCAGCGUUUGCAGGAAGUCCAUGAAAAAGUCUUCAUUUUCCCCCGCUGUGGCCAGCCCUGUGUCAUAGGUGGUGUUCCCUGCUCGUAAACAUAACUGCGAAAUGCAGAAGUGACGUGUAGUGAAGUAACCUGCCCCAGAACAG